CACUGUCCCAAGCUCUGAGGUGGAUCCAAGCAAAUCAGGUUGGACAUAGUCCCUGUCCCAUGUGGGGCUCACAGUCUUCAUCCCCAGUUCACAGAUGAAGUAACUGAGGCUCAGAGAAGUGAAGCUAUUCGCCAAAGGUCACACAGAGGUAGAACCCGUGACCUUCUGACUCCCCGACCCGUUCUCUAUCCACUGUGCCACGCUGCUUCUCCGAGUGACCUGCGCAAGGUCACACAGCUGACAAGUGGCAGAGCCGGGAUUAGAACCCAUAACCUUCUGAUUCCCAGGUCCGGGCUCUCUCCGCUAGGUGGAAUUUCUCAGGGGAUUCUGGGAGAGCCAUUAUGAACCUGCAGCAUUACCCCAGAAAUUCCCAGAAGGCAAUAUCCGGGUAUACCGUUUUGGCUGACGGGACCAUUGCGACUUUCUUCCGGGAGCCUCCGAUAAGUCCUCUGCAUGAGUCACGGGGCAACUCUGUCACCGUUGGCCAGAUUCUGGAGCAGGGAGCUGACACAGUAACCCAAAUCCAGCUCACCCGCCGAUGAUGUCACGCAGUUUGAAAAGCUAUAUUCCUUGCACCCGCUCUGUACCUUUCCUACAUCACGGAGAACCGAGAUGAAAUCGAUGUCGGCUGGUUGAAAAUUGAAGCGCAAUGAAAAGAGAAAUCUAAAUGUUGGAACGUUCUGUACCGAGGAGACAGUCUUGUGCAACGAAUAUACCCGGUGUUCUCCUUAACUGGUCUCAGGAAAUCCAUUUUGAUGAGAGGAUUUCAAAUGUAAUGGAUCGAGUCGGACCACUCCGUCAAUCAAAGUAUUUCUUGAACGCCUUCUGUGUCCAGAGCCCUGGGCUCUGCACCUGGGAGAGUACGAGAGAAUCGGCAGACUGGUCCUCCCCCUGGAGAAGCUUACAAUCUAGUGGGAGAGACAGACGUUAAGAAACAUUGCAGAUAGGAGAAACAAGGAAAAGAGCCCUCCCUCUCGUUUCCUCUUCGUGGGACAAAAAUGACGAAGACAGGCGAUUUUUGAAUCCGUCUUCAGAGGCUUCGCGGUCCAAUAUCUGAUGAGGUUGCAAAAGCGACGUUCCUAAAUAUCUGGACCCGAUCCAUGAUGAUCUGCAAUCUUCAUCAUGAGGGUUAGGCGGAAACCCAAGGGUCAGCAGGGGAGGGUUCGGCAAAUCCCAUCCUCUCCUCGCCCCCUCGUCGCCAUGAAUUCCAGGACCUGCAUUCCUGAGAGAUCUGUUUCCCAGGAGAGUCAUCUGUUAUUCGCUCCAGAGCUGGCUAAUUGAAGAUUGCAUCUACGGCUUGGCAGGUCUCUUCGACCCAUAAACUCUGAGCUGUCCCGUUCUCUAGGCUUGCUUCAAGAUGGCUGGGGCUCCAACUCAUUCUGCUUUCUUCCAAAGUUUGGGGUUAAAUUAGAGCGGCGCAGAUAUUGGAUCCUGGAGCAGAACCAGUUACGUACCCUUUGAAGGAGGAUUAGGAGAACUCAAGUCCUUCCUUGCAGGGUGGGAGGAAAGAUGAAAAGAGAAGGUACCGACAGAAUGUUGGACCUUCGUCAGCACCUUGGUGAUGAUUUCACUUUGUUCUCCCUGGUAUCUUCUCUCGCUCUAGGAUGUUCAUCAAAGUCUCAAUCCUCAGCACAGUGCUUACCACGAGGUGAAAGUCUCUCCCCAUAAGAAACGAUGGAUGGACUUCGGUUCAGUCAUUUCCUGGGCAUUUGGGCAAGAGGGACAGAGCUUUGGUGCUUAGUUUGAAAAACCUCUUAGGUUUUGGGGUUUUUUUAUGAUAUUCGUUAAGUGCUUACUCUGCGUCAGACGAUGUACUGAAUGCUGGUGUAGAUACAAGUUAAUCCGGUCGGUUUCGGUCCACGUCCCACACGGGGCCGACAAUUUUAAUCCCCAUUUUGCAGAUGAGGUACCUGAAGCCCAGAGAGGUGAAGUGACUUGCCCAAGGGCACCCGGCAGACAAGGGGCAGAGCCGGGGUUAGAACCCAGAUCUUUCUGACUCCCAGGCCCUUUGUCUAGCCACUAGGCCUCGCUGCUUCUCUGUUUCCACGCUCCCUCUGCCCAAUUUUCAGAGAGAUAGGUGUGAACUGACAGUUAUGUAUUGCUUUGCAAGGUUCCCAGUGAACUGAAAAUCCCAGCCAGGUUAGAACAAACAUGCUAUAAGCAAAGAAUAAUUUAAUCACUUACUUGCCUCCGGGGCUGGUAUCUCGGGAAAGAAGGAGACUCGUGUGCCAGCCUGUAUUAAAGCAGAUGAUUGGCUCGAAGCUGGUCGUGAGCUGUUUCCAGGAGCCUGCAGCAGAGACCACCAAACUUGUACAUGUCCAUGGAUUCCUGCCCGAGGCAAUCAACCGUUUCCAUCAAAUUCACUCUCUGUUUGACCCAGGGAGGGAGGGAGAGAGGGAAGAGCCAAAAAACUCGGUCAGUUUUUUGCAAGUCAAUCCCAGCUGUCUUGGGCUAAGC
rnacentral:lncRNA from 1 species